rnacentral:rRNA from 1 species
GAAUAUUGGACAAUGGGGGCAACCCUGAUCCAGCAAUGCCGCGUGUGUGAAGAAGGCCUGCGGGUUGUAAAGCACUUUCAGAGGGGAAGAAAAAAUCGGAGCUAAUACCUCCGAUCUUGACGUUACCCUUAGAAGCAGCACCGGCUAACUCAGUGCCACCAGCCGCGGUAAUACGGAGGGUGCAAGCGGUAAUCGGAAUUACUGGGCGUAAAGCGCACGCAGGUGGCUGAGAAAGUCGAUUGUGAAAGCCCUGGGCUUAACCUGGGAAUUGCAGUCGAAACUACUUAGCUAGAGUAUGGGAGAGGGCAGUGGAAUUCCCGGUGUAGCGGUGAAAUGCGUAGAUAUCGGGAGGAACAUCAGUGGCGAAGGCGGCUGCCUGGCCCAAUACUGACACUCAGGUGCGACAGCGUGGGGAGCAAACAGG